rnacentral:rRNA from 1 species
AGCGAACGCUGGCGGUAGGCCUAACACAUGCAAGUCGAACGACCGCACAGUAAGUGCUUGCUCUUACGUGUGGCGAGUGGCGGACGGGUGCGGAAUGCAUCGGAUUCUACUUUUUCGCUGGGGAUAACGUCGGGAAACUUCCGCUAAUACCGCAUACGUCCUACGUGUGACAGCAGGCGAUCUUCGGACCUUGCGCGUGUGGAUGAGCCGCUGUCGGAUUACCUAGUGGGCGGGGUCACGGCCUAGCAAGGCGCCGAUCCGUAGCUGGUCUGAGAGGAUGAUCAGGCACAUGGGAACUGAGACAGGGUCGAGACUCCUAGGGGAGGCAGCAGUGGGGAAUAUUGGACGAUGGGCGCAAGCCUGAUCCAGCGAAACCGCGUAAGUGAAGAAGGACUCAGGGUGGGAAAGUCCUGUUGUUGGGAAAGAAAAGCAGCAGGUUAAUACCCCGCUGUACUGACAGUACCCAAAGAAUAAGCCCCGGCUAACUUCGUG